CAACCGGGGUGUUGUGUCGGAAAUUCGGCACGGCUGAGAUUAUACCCGCUAACCUGAUCUGGAUAAUGCCAGCGUAGGGAAUUGUAAU
rnacentral:ncRNA from 1 species